AGCCAUGCAGCUGCCAUUUUGGAUCUGAGAGAGUUGGCCAUGCAGCAGCGUUUCGGAUCCGAGAGCUGGCCAUGCAGCAGCCAUUAAGGAUCCAAGAGUCGGUCAUGUAGCAGCCAUUUCGGAUCUGAGAGAGUCGGCCAUGCAGCAGCCGUUUGGGAUCUGAGAGUCGGCCAUGCAGCAGCCGUUUGGGAUCUGAGAGAGUCGGCCAUGCAGCAGCCAUUUGUGCAUGCUUCCCUUCUCCCAGCCCCACAGGAGACUGACUCUGCAUCCUGCCUCCUUUCAAAUGCAUCCUGUGCCAACAGUUUCUGAAAACGGAUAAACAAAUUGACAACCUCAAAUGCAAAGAUGAAACAUUUCUCCAGAUCAUCAGGGCACAUGGUUUACUCAGGCCCAGAGGAGUGAGCUGAUAUAAAGAAGCUGUGCCACACAGUCGGAUGGGGUCCGAAGGAAACAAUAGGGCUGAGUGAUGAGUAUUGAAGAAGAAAUCUAAAGAAAGAAUGUCUUAUCAGCUGACCGCAAAGCUGCCUCCUUCUACCUGGCCACAUUGCUUAUCUAUUGUACUGCGUCUCUCUUGGAUGGAAACGAUACACCAAUCACUCAUAAGUGAAUAAUUUCCUUCUAAAUCACAGGCCUACACCUGAGGUGGCUGCCACAGGUGUAACCUGUUUAGACCAGCAAUUAUAUUUACUCCAUGAUGACAGAAAACAGGAAAGAUGUAUCAUACAGUGCAUUUGCUCCUGCUAUUUAUAAAUAGACCUCUUUACAUUAGCACUACAUAUGACUGUCUCAUCCACUUAUCAGCAAUUUAAUAUAUCACAGACAACAUGGGUUAAAAGCAAAAUAAGUUUCAAACACUAACCUCAGUUUACUCAUAAAUAUUUCACUUCUACAAACCUUGUUUAUUCAAGCUAUGGUUCUAUACAAAUUGGCAAGUCAUUCUUUAUUUUACUUUUCUGUGGUUCUAGACCCUUCUAGACUAAAGAUCUCUGACUUUACUGCUGCCUUUUCUAGAUGUUUUCCUGAGUACACAUGUGAGCUUAUUGUUAACAUCAGUCUCUUUCCCUUUAAGAACUGGUUUUUUUCUGAUGGCUGUGGUCUAAGAGAGCUCACUCUGGAUUUCUCUCUGUUAGUUUUCUAACAUAACCCACAGUGAUAAAUCUAUUUUAUGUUGGGAAUAAGGGAAUAUUUAUACGUAAAGUCAAACAAAAUUGAAGUUUACUUAUGCUUUUUUGCACUUUGAUAUUUUCUAUAUAUUCUGCCAUGUUCCCUAAUAUUCUCUGUUAUUCUAUUUUAUUUUUAAGAAAAUGAUUGGUCUCUACCCUCACAAUGAUUCUGCAAUCCACUGUGGGAACAUGACGCACAGCCUCGAGCCACUGUGGGAGCUUCCUCAUCAGAAGGGAGGGGUACCAGGGGGUGUGGUGAUGUGGCCCUAGGUGCGGGAAUUUCCAAAAGGGAAGCUCUGGUAGCAGCCUCUCAUCUAUAGUAUCAUAUUUUCAGUGUCAUCGUAACGCAGAGAAGUAGAAGAUUCAAGACUUUGGAAAACAGCCAUUUUCUCUCAAUUACAAGAAUAAUAACAGUAUUUGAAAGAUCCUAAAAGUGGUGAAGAUGGAGUAAGUGUUUGGUAGGGAAUCCCUGCCCUGGCUGAUCAUUAUGUCUGCCUUGGCUGUACAUGUGAUCUUGGUGGCAUUUCUGGACUAUCACCCAGAGAGGUGGGUUAAGACUGGUUAAGACCGCAGAGUCAGACCGCUUGGAGUUGAAUCCUGACACCACCGCAUUCUAGCUGUGUGACUUUAGAAAGUCCCUUAGCCUCUAUGAAAUUUAGUUUGCUCAAUCAGAAAAAGAGAAUAAUGACACUGUUCAUCUUACAGAAUUGUUGCAAGGAUUAAAUAAACUAUCAGAUGGAAAGGACUUGUGGUGA
rnacentral:lncRNA from 1 species